rnacentral:tRNA from 1 species
GACAGCUUGGCCGAGUGGUUAAGGCGAUAGACUAGAAAUCUAUUGGGGUAACCCGCGUGAGUUCAAAUCUCACAGCUGUUG